rnacentral:rRNA from 1 species
AGCAGCCGCGGUAAUUCCAGCUCCAAUAGCGUAUAUUAAAGUUGCUGCAGUUAAAAAGCUCGUAGUUGAAUUUCGGGACCAUCAUGUCGGUCGUGCCUCGGUACGUACUGGCAUUGUUGGUUUCUACCUUCUGAAGAACCUCGAUGUCAUUAAUUUGGUGUCUUGGGGAAUCAGGACUGUUACUUUGAAAAAAUUAGAGUGUUUAAAGCAGGCACGCGCUUGAAUACAUUAGCAUGGAAUAAUGAAAUAGGACGUUUGAUUCUAUUUUGUUGGUUUCUAGGAUUGACGUAAUGAUUAAUAGGGAUAGUUGGGGGCAUUAGUAUUCAAUUGUCAGAGGUGAAAUUCUUGGAUUUAUUGAAGACUAAC